rnacentral:tRNA from 1 species
AAAGUUCUAGCUUAAUUAAAGCACCUGAUUUGCAUUUAGGAGAUGCAGGGUAGCAUCCUGCGAAUUUUA